AAGGUCGUAACAAGGUUUCCGUAGGUGAACCUGCGGAAGGAUCAUUACACAUUUCAAAAAGCCGGUGCGGGACGACGCCUCCUGUUCCUGGUUGGGCGAAUCCAACCCCCAUCGGGUGUCCACUCUAGCGUAAAGCAGAGGCGAGGCGGGUUCGUUUUCGACCAGGACCCGAGGCCGGUUCCCUGCACGACUUUCCAUCCUUAUUAUACCUGCACCUUCUAUUCUCCUUCGGUGGGGCAACCUGCCGUCGGAACCGUCAAACCCUUUGCAUCUAGUAUUACCCGUUCUGAUACAAUUUAAUUAUUACAA
rnacentral:misc_RNA from 1 species